rnacentral:rRNA from 1 species
AAGUCGAACGCGAAAGCCCCUUCGGGGGACAAGUAGAGUGGCGCACGGGUGAGUAACACGUAGGUAAUCUACCUUCGGAUUGGGAAUAACAACCGGAAACGGUUGCUAAUACCGAAUAAUGCAGCGGCACCUAAUGGUGACAGUUGUUAAAGCGGGGGAUCGCAAGAACUCGCGUCUGAAGAGGAGCCUGCGGCGGAUNAGCUAGUUGGUAAGGUAAUGGCUUACCAAGGCGAUGAUCCGUAGCCGGCCUGAGAGGGCGGUCGGCCACACUGACACUGACAUACGGGUCAGACUCCUACGGGAGGCAGCAGUCGGGAAUUUUGGGCAAUGGGCGAAAGCCUGACCCAGCAACGCCGCGUGAAGGAUGAAAUCCUUCGGGAUGUAAACUUCGCAAGAACGGGAAGAAUAAGUG